rnacentral:rRNA from 1 species
CGGUGGAGUAUGUGGUUUAAUUCGAUGCAACGCGAAGAACCUUACCUGGUCUUGACAUCCCGGAGACCCUUAGGAAACUAGGGGUGCUUCCAUCUGGAAGGAUCUGGAGACAGGUGCUCGCAUGGCUGUCGUCAGCUCGUGUCGUGAGAUGUUGGGUUAAGUCCCGCAACGAGCGCAACCCUUGCCUUUAGUUGCCAGCAGUUCGGCUGGGCACUCUAAAGGGACUGCCGGUGUUAAACCGGAGGAAGGUGGGGAUGACGUCAAGUCCUCAUGGCCUUUAUGACCAGGGCUACACACGUACUACAAUGGCCGAUACAAAGGGCAGCGACACUGCGAGGUGAAGCCAAUCCCGUAAAAUCGGUCUCAGUCCGGAUUGGAGUCUGCAACUCGACUCCAUGAAGUUGGAAUCGCUAGUAAUCGUGGAUCAGCAUGCCACGGUGAAUACGUUCCCGGGCCUU